CCCCCCCCCGCCCUGCGAAGGAGGGCCGGCGGGGACGGCGGGGUGGCCGCAUGGGGCCCAGGGGCUGCCGGCUGGGGUCGCCCCGCUCCCGCUCCCGCUCCCGCGCCUAGGCUGAGCCAGGGGCCGGAGGCUUCUGGAGAGGGGGGCGCACCCUGCCUGCCGAGGCCAGGACCCCGGAGGGGAGGCCCGAGGCCGCCCGGUUUCGCUGCUUCGCCCUAACCGCGUUGUCCCCGCGCCCACACUGCUGAGAGGGGGGGGAAGGCGCGCUCUGCGACCGCAACGCCCCUGCGUCCUGUGCAACCCUGGCCACCGACUACCCCUGAAGUAGGGAGGAGACAGAUGGCAGAAGAGGAGAGUCGCCGAGUCCGUCAUAUCUCGGAAAGGAAGGACACGCAGCCCCCCGCCAGGGACCUCAUCUCUGCGACCCGACGGAGGCCGUGGCCCACUCUCACGACCCUGCCCUCCGCCAGCCCCUCGUCAGGCUGCACCUCCACCUGGUGCGGCGACCUAGACCGCCAUCCCCGAGGACUCCGAGCUCCCGCUGACCCCACGGGCCUCGGGCCACCGCCGUCUUCGCCGACCGGCUCCCCCGGGCAUGGGAGUCCUGGGAGGGGCUGCGGUCACAUCCGUCUUCCUUCCCACCCCCGCCGUGUACCGGCCGUCCUACGUCCCCUCGUCCCUCGGUAGUCGGAAAGUCAGACCCCAGCUCUUCCUCGAACCCGCCGGGUGACUUGGACACGUUGCUUAAUGUCCCCGUGACUCAGCGUCUUUGCUGGAGAAAUGGGAGUAACCCUUGCCAGAUGUGUCAUAGGAAACUUCGAGAGCUCACCGGUGCAGGCUGGAGGUGCGGAAGCGGGCAGGUGUGACCGGGCCUAUGGGGAGUGUGGCCUACCUGCUCCUGGCAAUUUACCUGGGCUCAAGGUGACAUGGCUUUGCUCCAAAACCCGGGACCCCCCCCCCCCCCAUCUCUCUCUUCCAUUAGUGCUUGCCAGGACCAGGAGGCAGAGGAGCAGGACAGAAUGGGGUUCCCGCUUCCGCUCUGGGACCCCCACAGCAGUCCCGAACUUCUUGCCUCUGGACUCCUUUUAACGGAAAACACUCUUGAUUACGUCACUGUUCUUCCCUGUUGCCGUUACUUGAAGUAAAAGGCAAUUACCUAAUUGA